rnacentral:rRNA from 1 species
GACGAACGCUGGCGGCGUGCUUAACACAUGCAAGUCGAACGGAAAGGCCCUGCUUUUGUGGGGUGCUCGAGUGGCGAACGGGUGAGUAACACGUGAGUAACCUGCCCUUGACUUUGGGAUAACUUCAGGAAACUGGGGCUAAUACCGGAUAGGAGCUCCUGCUGCAUGGUGGGGGUUGGAAAGUUUCGGCGGUUGGGGAUGGACUCGCGGCUUAUCAGCUUGUUGGUGGGGUAGUGACUUACCAAGGCUUUGACGGGUAGCCGGCCUGAGAGGGUGACCGGCCACAUUGGGACUGAGAUACGGCCCAGACUCCUACGGGAGGCAGCAGUGGGGAAUAUUGCACAAUGGGCGGAAGCCUGAUGCAGCAACGCCGCGCGCGGGAUGACGGCCUUCGGGUUGUAAACCGCUUUCGCCUGUGACGAAGCGUGAGUGACGGUAAUGGGUAAAGAAGCACCGGCUAACUACGUG